CUCAAAGGAAUUGACGGGGGCCCGCACAAGCGGUGGAGCAUGUGGUUUAAUUCGAAGCAACGCGAAGAACCUUACCAGGUCUUGACAUACUCGUGCUAUUCCUAGAGAUAGGAAGUUCCUUCGGGACACGGGAUACAGGUGGUGCAUGGUUGUCGUCAGCUCGUGUCGUGAGAUGUUGGGUUAAGUCCCGCAACGAGCGCAACCCUUAUUGUUAGUUGCCAUCAUUAAGUUGGGCACUCUAGCGAGACUGCCGGUAAUAAACCGGAGGAAGGUGGGGAUGACGUCAAAUCAUCAUGCCCCUUAUGACCUGGGCUACACACGUGCUACAAUGGUUGGUACAACGAGUCGCAAGACAGUGAUGUCAAGCUAAUCUCUUAAAGCCAAUCUCAGUUCGGAUUGUAGGCUGCAACUCGCCUACAUGAAGUCGGAAUCGCUAGUAAUCGCGGAUCAGCACGCCGCGGUGAAUACGUUCCCGGGCCUUGUACACACCGCCCGUCACACCACGAGAGUUUGUAAUACCCAAAGCCGGUGAGCUAACCUUUUAGGAGGCAGCCGUCUAAGGUAGGAUAGAUGAUUGGGGUGAAGUCGUAACAAGGUAGC
rnacentral:rRNA from 1 species